UGGUAACGCUUGAAGGUUCAUACGGCGCCACAGUGCAAUUUCCAAUGGAAAUAAGUCAAAUUUUCGAACAUAUAAAAUGAAAAAAGUAAUGAGAUUUACGAAAAAUGGGGACAUUGGUGGUAUUAUUUUCAAUGUUUUUUUACUGAUUUGCAUUGAAUUGGCGUGAGGGGAGGUGAUGAGAUUUAACUGAUUUAAGCUCCGCGCGCGGUGACCGGUAGCCGAUGACGCGCAAGUGUUGUGAUAGCAGUGAUCAAGGCUGAUUGACACGGUACCAAAUGUCCGGUUGGUGGUAACAAUGGCUAAAAACACUCCUGGUUUUGCUCUGAAAAACUCUGAUCUCUUCGACUUAUGGACACGGGCAUCGAGAAAGGAGUGAGUUACAACAAUUGAGGAGAAACUCCGAGAACUAUUCGCAAACAAACGUGUCUCAGACAAAAAUUGGACAAAAUGUCAUGUAUUUUUUAAGAAUUUUUCGUUUUUAUCUUUCUUUUUUCUCUUGUCUCUUGUGAAGAUUAAUUUUGCUGUAAAUUUUCGGUGAUAUUUUACUGUGCUGAAUUUUUUAUUUUUUGAAAUGCCUUUUCCUUUUUAUUAAAGAUUUGUAAUAUGACCAAA